rnacentral:tRNA from 1 species
GGGUGCUUAGCUCAGUUGGUAGAGCAGCUGACUCUUAAUCAGCGGGCCACAGGUUCGAUCCCUGUAGCACCCA